AAGAUUUUAAGUUAAUAAAACUACUAGUCUUCAAAACUAAAAUUAAAUAA
rnacentral:tRNA from 1 species